UCCGUAGGCGGGCAAUUAAGUCAGAGGUGAAAUCCUGCAGCUCAACUGUAGAAUUGCCUUUGAUACUGGUUAUCUUGAGUUAUUAUGAAGUAGUUAGAAUAUGUAGUGUAGCGGUGAAAUGCAUAGAUAUUACAUAGAAUACCAAUUGCGAAGGCAGAUUACUAAUAAUCAACUGACACUGAUGGACGAAAGCGUGGGGAGCGAACAGGAUUAGAUACCCUGGUAGUCC
rnacentral:rRNA from 1 species